rnacentral:rRNA from 1 species
CAGCAGCCGCGGGAAUACAGAGGGUGCGAGCGUUAAUCGGAUUUACUGGGCGUAAAGCGUGCGUAGGCGGCUUCUUAAGUCGGAUGUGAAAUCCCUGAGCUUAACUUAGGAAUUGCAUUCGAUACUGGGAAGCUAGAGUAUGGGAGAGGAUGGUAGAAUUCCAGGUGUAGCGGUGAAAUGCGUAGAGAUCUGGAGGAAUACCAAUGGCGAAGGCAGCCAUCUGGCCUAAUACUGACGCUGAGGUACGAAAGCAUGGGGAGCAAACAGGAUUAGAUACCCCUGUAGUCCCUGUCUCUUAUCA